rnacentral:rRNA from 1 species
AGGACGAACGCUGGCGGCGUGCCUAACACAUGCAAGUCGAACGGAGUUGCCCUUCGGGACAACUUAGUGGCGAACGGGUGAGUAACGCGUGAGGAACCUGCCUUUCAGUGGGGGACAACAGUUGGAAACGACUGCUAAUACCGCAUAAUGUCAUCGAGCGGCAUCGCUUGAUGACCAAAGAUUUAUUGCUGAAAGAUGGCCUCGCGUCUGAUUAGCUAGUUGGUGGGGUAACGGCCCACCAAGGCGACGAUCAGUAGCCGGUCUGAGAGGAUGAACGGCCACAUUGGGACUGAGAUACGGCCCAGACUCCUACGGGAGGCAGCAGUGGGGAAUAUUGGGCAAUGGGGGAAACCCUGACCCAGCAACGCCGCGUGAAGGAAGAAGGCCUUCGGGUUGUAAACUUCUUUUACCAGGGACGAAUAAUGACGGUACCUGGAGAAAAAGCAACGGCUAACUACGUG